UUUUUCACAUAGUAGUUCCACCCUUAACUAGAUAAUUAAGUAGAAUAUAUUAAGCAAAUACAUCUCUUAACUAGAUAAUUAAGUAGAAUAUAUUAAGCAAAUACAUCUCAGACUUCUUCAACAAGCAUAACCACUCAAAUAUAUAUAUUUAUAUCCAUACACCUCAAACAGUACAGUUGUACAGGUGUACUACAAAUCUUUGAAAAAAAAUAUAGGAAGACCAAACUAUGUUAACCUAUACAACAAUGCCAGACCAAACUUAGACCAACACAAAAUAUCUUUGAGUCAACUAGGACAACAUGACACAUUUGAGACACACUAACCACCACUCUCACGUGCACAAUAGAUUAAUAGUCAAUUGUUCAACAUUAUAGUCUAUGUAUGGGCUUCAACCUUCAGCCAAUUACAAGCUAGCACCUGUGAGAACAAUGGAGAAGGGGAUGGGAAGCCAUACCAGCCAAGGAAGAUGGUUUUCUGAUAUUAAAAGGAGAGAGAGCAGAGCAAGCCAUUGCCAAGACUUCACACAUCUCCAUUCUUCCCCAAAUAGCCAAACCUGCAGCUUGUCUUCCUCCCACUUUCUUCAUCUUUCUAUCUGCAACCAACAAAGAUCCAAGAACAAUAAGUAGAGAUGGUGACCUGAGAAAUCAUAGUAGAUCAAAGGAGGAAGGCUAGAGCAAGAAAUUAGCCUACUGGACUGGGAUCUGGAAGUAGGAGCAGCACUAGUAGGAACAGCAGAGAAGGCAAAAGAAGAAAGGUGAGUUCUUCUUCUUCUGUCAUUCCUUUAGCACUCACACUCACAAAGAAGCCUAACCCAGAUGCACCCACAAUAUUCCUCACAACUUCUUCAUAGAUGCACACAAAAGCUAAAUCAUCCCAGUAAUAUCAUCUAUCACAGAUCUUAAAAUCAACAUUACAAGAAAGCAUGGAUAAUGCCUUAAUCAAGUAAAAUAAAAUGGAUCAAGUAAACCAACAUCUUGCACAAGAGGAAUUGGUUCAGUACACACACAUGCACAUGAGACUAAAUUAAUUUACUAAAUCUGAGAACUUUAACCAUAAAAAAAAUAUUAGGGAUAGGAACAAGGCAUCACUAACCUGCACAUAUGUUCGAUCUGCUCCAUGGCCACGCACUGGAGCUCUGACCUGCACCAUCCAGCAUCACGGCGGCGCCCAAGCCGGCGACUUCGAUCUGGAGCAGCGGAAUCACAUCCCAACGAGAGCCUCACCUGCAAGCCAAAAUCAGAGGAGGAUUUGAGGGUUAGGGAUGAAUCCAUGGGGGACAUAUGGGGAUUUACAUCAGAGAGAGAGAGAGAGAGAGAGAGAGAGAGAGAGAGAGAUUUGAGGAUCCGGCAGCGGCGGAGCAGCAUCUUUCCCGUCGCUGGCGUGCUGCUCGAUCUGGGCAAGGUGUAGAAGAAACAGAGGAGGGCAUGCGUGUACUACUUGUGUUCUGGCUGCACUAGUACUAGUGUGUGUGUUGAUUCGGUUCAGAAUGGGUAAUAGUACUAGGAGAGAGAAAGAGCCACUUAGCCUAAGCUGAAAUGUCACGGUACACUCCCAGGCUACUAGUACUAAUUAGUUAAUUUGAUGACAUGUGAAUAAUGCUAGUUACACACUACACUGAUAAAUAUAACAUAUCUUGUAUCAAGAUUUUACAAGUUUAAAACCUUGGUGACCGUAGGAUAACCACACUGCACCAACGUAUUUUUAUUUUAGUUAUUCACUCGACUUAGUAUCAGUAUAUAUAUAUUUGCUGAAUUGCAGGAAGCAAACAAGACCCGGAGAAGGAAGCGCCACAGAAGCAAUUUGAGUUCGGGUCUGAGUACGAGAACUCAGGCAAGCUCUCCUUGAUCAUGUUGAGUAGAACUAUUUUUCAAAAACACUAUUCUCCGCUAUCUUAUCAUCAACUUGCAUAAAAUGUUUUGAGAUAAAUUGUGUGGAAUGAGUGUUGGCAAAUAGUUGGGUUAGCUGAUGGAGCAGCUAAUCCAUUUUUUUUAUAAUUAUUUGGUGGAUAGAGGGUGAUCGGGAUGGACACAUUGGAAGGUGGGGCCCUCUACAUAUGGCUAUGAUAUUAAGAUUAAAUAACUUCCACUCGUUUUAUGUGCCGUACUACAACCGUAUCAGCCAUGGUCUCAUCUAAGGCGAGUUGAGCCCAAUACUAAUGCCGGAUGGGUGCAUUAGCAAGCGCUAUAUAUUAAGUGUUGGUGGAGUGCGGGUUCUGAAACCCGACACAACGGCUAGUGACCACUAGCCAGGUGGAGAUAUAAUAUACAAAUGGGAAAAAGCUUAGGUUCUGAACCAUUUCUCGCAACUAAGGAAAUGCAUAUGGCAAUUAUGGUUUCGAGCUCUGUGUGUAAAGUGAUACAAACUCUGCAGAGUUAAAGAAAAACAUGAAUUCAUGCCAGUCUCUUGGAUUGGAGACUACGGGGACCUAUUGGUGGUCUAUCUCGCAAUACGAGUGUUUGAUAGCUUUUAUAAAUUGAAAUAAACUUCUGCAACAAAUGUUUAUUUUUGAAAGUUGUGAGUUGAGGUAUGACUUGUUGAUUUAUAUUGAGCUAUCAUGACUGUUGCAUUCUGCUAUUUGAGCUUGAUGAGUACUUUGUACUCACUCUUGCUAUUAAUCAUCUUUUUCUUAGAGCAAAGCUUGUAUGAGAAUCCUACUGGACCAAGUGAGGAGAGCAAUGGUGAUGGCUACAACUACACAGGGGACCUAGAUGUGGAUCCAUCUAGUGCUAUGUAUGAUCUGGAUGCCACAUAUGGGGGCUGGGAUGAACAAGUAACUUGUGAGCUAGCUAUGUAAUCCAGGAACUAUUUCAUCACUAUAUAUCUAGUACCGUUGUUGGAACUAGCGAACAUGUGAGAAGCCUACUUGAGACUUUUAGCCCCACGUGGCAUGAUAUUGUAAUAUAAGAGACCAUCUCUAGCUAUUUCCAUGUUGCAUAUCUCUAACAUGGAUUAUUAUUUGACAAGACAAUAUUUUGUCCAGAAAUAAUCCAAGGACAGUGUCAUUAUCUAUAAUAAUAAUGACACGGGUCAUCACAGGUGGUAUCAGUGCCAGGUUUUCGAGGGCCACGCAGAUAGUUAGAGACGGUUAGAAUACUUUAGUUGGAACCCAUACUUGCUAUAUUGCACAAGUAAUUAGACCCAGAAUAUAUCAUUGUGGCCAGUAACUUUAGAUGACUACCAUGCUAAUUGGAAGCCUGUUGCAGGAUGGUUUGAAUUAGAAUUCCACCAUCAAGGGUUCGUGGCCAACAUGUCCUACUACUUUGGCAAAUGAUGGAGGAGCUUGGGGCACCAUGUCCACAAUUCUUUGAAGAGAUACCAGAUGAUGGAACACACUCCUACAGACGCGUAGUACUGGUGCUUAGCGGUGUUCCAUCGGACAUGGACUUCUAUGUGGAGCUCUCCACAAUGCAGCGAUCAUCCGAUGACACUCUACCCAUGUAGGAGGUUGCCAAAGAAGCUAUGCAUGGACUGCGAGCACGCUCUGGAGAGAAAUUGCGCACUACCGGAUAUCGUGACUUGCCAGCACUUGAUUCUGGAAGUUUUGGGCAGAACCAUCAGCAAGGACCUAGAGUAGCAAGCCUGGGUGUCGGGUCUUCAUCAGCUCAGCAUGCACCUGCCGCAACAGUUAGCACCACUUCUACCAUGGCCAGGAUUGCUGAUGUGAUGAUGUACCAUACAAUGAAGGAAGAGCUUAUUAGGCGUCAAGAAGCAACCAAAUUCUAGUAUCAAUGCUAUCAGAUGAGCGAACAUGACGGGAUUAUGCUUCAGGAAGCACUAAAUGCUAUGCUGAGGUCCACUUAAUCCUAUAAUAGUACCAAGUGAUGUUGAAGAGGAAGUAGAACCAGAGGAACCGGAAGAACUUGAGGAAGUAGAGAACCCAGAUGAGCCAGUAGUUCCACCCUCACCAGACAUACCACCUACACCACCCCAGCCAUUACCUGAACAUAUAGCUGAACCUGAACCAGCCCUACAGUCUGAUAUAGAGCAGCAACAGCUACCCCACUUCCCUAAUCCACGACUACACCAACCUGACUUUAUCCACCCACACAUGAGUGUCAGCUCGAGGGAGUACAGGGAGGCUGCUACCUAUGCAAGGGUACUUGGGCUUGGCGCAAGUGGCAGCGGCGAAAGUAAUGGAAGUGGCAGCGGUAGCAACAAUGGCGGUGGCAGCGGCAUCGCCUAAUCAAGUUCCAAUCUGCCAAACUCUUCGGCGUGAAACACCUUGGCCAUAGACUAAUCUUUUGGGAUCAGCAGUAGUUAGUGUAGUGGCAGCCUGAAUAUGUGUGUUUAUGUAAGAUAUGCCUGAACUUCAAUGCUAGAGUAUGUCGCCUAUGUACUAGUAGGAACUGAACCCUAUGUGGCGUGUGCUGUAGUUGUAAUGUAGUUAUGCCCUUAACUAAUACUUAUGUGAUGUACUGGUUGUAAUAUAAGUGCUUGUUCCGUAGUAUAUAACUUGUGUGCAUUAGUAGGCUCAUAGUACCUUACUAUUGUGUGCUUUAGUGGUAACACAGAGGAUAACAUAAUCCUAUUAGGCAAAAGUAAAAUGUUUGACAUCAUCUUAUGGGAGACACAAGAGUAAUCGGAGUUGUAUCAUUCUGGUUAGUAAGAGGCAUUUGCCACCAGAAUUAAACUUCAUGUUUGGUUACUGCAAAUUUAAGGAUAGCAUGAUAUUUAUUGAUAUCACUUGCACUUGUGCUUGCUGAUUGAAUCAAUAAUCAUGCAAAGAAGUAACCAACUAACUAGACAAAAAAUGCAGGAUGGAUAACAAUGGCUUGACCGAGCAAGACCUUGUCUUUCGGUUGGGAUCAAGCGCCCAUGAUCAGCAUGGGGGUACUCCAUCUUCAGAAAAUCAAAGUGCUCUACCUGGACCGGUGCAACUUCCAAGCAACCCAGAAGUUGGCAAUGCUGGAACUUCUGGACUUAUGAGUGGAGAAGGCAAUUUGGGAGAUGUCCUUAAGUUCAUGGAUAAUUCUCGAAGGGAGUCCCAAGAGAACCAGAACCACUUCCUCGAAGCAAUACUCACAAGACUAGUUCCUGGAGGAGCAAACCUACCCGGUGCAGGAGUUAGCUUGGGAGAAUUUCUGAAAACUCAGCCACCCACAUUCUCCACUAGAGGCAGAUGACUGGCUGUUAGAAGUAGAACAUAACCUGGAAACCGUAGGGUGCUCAGAUGAAGAGAAGGUGAGAUAUGCAUCACACCAGCUAACUGGACCAGCAGCAGCUUGGUGGAGAAAUUUCAACCUUAACCGAGCAAAUAAUCAGCCUAUCACUUGGGAGGAGUUCAAGGAGAAUUUCCGUCAGACCCAUAUUCCAAAGGGAAAGAUGGAUAUCAAAAAGAGGGAGUUUCGCAAUCUGUCUCAAGGUAGCGGGAGGAUAAACGACUACAUGAACCAAUUUAAUGAUUUGGCAAGGUAUGCUCCAAAUUAUGUGAACACUGAAGCCAAGAAAGUGGAGAAGUUUAUGGAGGGGCUGCAUCCAUUCCUGAAAAUGCACCUCUCAAUUCACGGGAUCACCCAGUUUCAAGACCUUGUCAAUAGGGCCUUCAUACUUGAGAAUGAGCAUGCCAACCUAAGUGAAGAGAUAAGGAAGAAAGCAAGGGUAGAUCCAUGCCCCAUGAUGCAACACCCACGUCUUAUGAUGCAUGGACCAGUGCGUCCUCAUAUGCCACCACCACGGCCUAUUCCUACUCAGCCAAUCUUUGUUCCUAAAUGCGGGAAAUGUUGAAAGGGUCAUGCUACUCGAGAUUGUAUGAUGGGUACAGGAGUUUGCUUCAAUUGCGGGAGACCAGGACACCACAAGAUCAAUUGCAUCUCUCCUCCAGCAAAUCCUACAAGGCCACCUAUGCAGCAGACUCAAGGGCAUCGUCCACUAGUUGGGCAAGGACGAGGCGGACCUAUGAACUAUGCGGCAAGAGGAGCUGGGCGUGGAGGACAAGUAGGAGGACAGCCAAGGCUGAAUUAUGUGGCUGCAGAGCAACUAGGAGAAGCUACAGAUGUUGUCAUCGGUAAACCACUCAUUCCUCCUUCAGUUGGUAUAGUUAUUUUACACCGGUGCCACACACUUAGUUAUUUCCCAAGAAUUCGUGAAUAAGAGCAUGCACACCGUUGGAAAAAAGCUUUAGGAGUUAACUCACCUGGAGGGAAGAUUACAGUAGAGACAACACGCAGAAAUCAACCAAUAAUAAUCCACAACACCAACAUUUUAGCAAACCUGCAUGUCAUAGAGAUGGCAGGGUUAGAAAUAAUCCUCGGGAUGGUUUGGUUAGCUGCCAAUAUAGUGAAAGUAGAUUAUGAACUUAAAGGGGUAUAUAAAAGUAUUACCUAUGAGAGGGGUUCGACGCUUUGGAAUCAAAGGGAAGCUAAGUCCUAGAUAUGUUGGGCCCUUUAAAAUUUUAGAGAAGGGAAAUCUGCUUAUAAGUUGGAAUUACCACACACCUAUCAAGGACUCACAAUGUCUUCCACAUAUCUCAACUUAAGAAAUGCAACAAGCCACCACCACAUUUGUCAGACUAGGAGGAUUGAUCUAGAGACAGACCUGACCUAUGAAGAGCGCCCAUUGAAGAUAUUAGAAGUUGAAGACCGCAAGCUCAGGACAAGGACCAUGCGGUUCUACAAGGUUCAAUGGAAGAAUCACUUCGUUCGCGAGGCUACGUGGGAGAAGGAGGAAGACAUACGAGUUACCUACCGCAAUCUUUUUAAGUAAGUUUUCGAUUUCGAGGACGAAAUAUUUUUCUGAGGGUAGGAUGUAACGACCUGUAUUUUCACAUAGUGGUUCCACCCUUAACUAGAUAAUUAAGUAGAAUAUAUUAAGCAAAUACAUCUCAGACUUCUUCAACAAGCAUAACCACUAAAAUAUAUACAUUUAUAUCCAUACACCUCAAACAGUACAGUUGUACAGGUGUACUACAAAUCUUUGAAAAAAAUAUAGGAAGACCAAACUAUGUUAACCUAUACAACAAUGCCAGACCAAACUUAGACCAACACAAAAUAUCUUUGAGUCAACUAGGACAAC
rnacentral:lncRNA from 1 species